rnacentral:lncRNA from 1 species
CUGACCUUGGCCUGGAAUUCAAAGGAAAAGCAGCUCAUAAACUUCUAAAGCAAGCAGGAGAUAAAUAUCCUUAGUCAUAAAAGAACAAACGAAGUUUGGGGUGGGGGGACGGGGGAAAAAAAGCAGAACUUUUAUUUUUUUGAAAUACAGUAAAAUGUGUUGCCAAGUUUUUCAGGAAGUGCUAGUGGCCAUUUUGAUGAUGUGAACUAGACUUUAAAACAGAAAGAGGAAAAAUGAAUGUGGUGGACAAGGGCUGCUGACAAUAUCAGAUAGAAUCAGCCAUCCUCACUGCGCUGGACCUAGGCUCUAGGAGACGGUUUGGAAAGGAGAGACGGCAGCUGGGUAAGAGAACAGAAGGCUUGGGAGCCUGGGGGUGGCAUCACAGGAUUUCUCCGCGUCACCUUGGCCGGUGACAUGGUUUCCUGAGCAUGUGCGUCAGCCCUUGGAGAUGUCCAGCGAAUGCUGUAUUCUUCAGAAUUUGGGGAUCUUGCAAAGUGACACCCCUGCAAAUGGCUGGGGAGAAUGAAAUAGGUGAGUAGCCACUUUGUACUUCUUUCUGCAGGGGCAGUGGCUGUGUGAAUUGAAGAUGCAGAC